rnacentral:rRNA from 1 species
UGAUGGCCGUGCUUGCACGGCUGGAUUAGUGGCGAACGGGUGAGUAACACGUGAGUAACCUGCCCUCCACUUCGGGAUAACCUCGGGAAAUCGGGGCUAAUACCGGAUAUGAGCACCUACUGCAUGGUGGGUGUUGGAAAGUUUUUCGGUGGGGGAUGGACUCGCGGCCUAUCAGCUUGUUGGUGAGGUAGUGGCUCACCAAGGCGUUGACGGGUAGCCGGCCUGAGAGGGCGACCGGCCACACUGGGACUGAGACACGGCCCAGACUCCUACGGGAGGCAGCAGUGGGGAAUAUUGCACAAUGGGCGAAAGCCUGAUGCAGCGACGCCGCGUGAGGGAUGACGGCCUUCGGGUUGUAAACCUCUUUCAGCAGGGAAGAAGCGAGAGUGACGGUACCUGCAGAAGAAGCGCCGGCUAACUACGUGCCAGCAGCCGCGGUAAUACGUAGGGCGCAAGCGUUGUCCGGAAUUAUUGGGCGUAAAGAGCUUGUAGGUGGCUUGUCGCGUCUGCCGUGAAAACCCGAGGCUCAACCUCGGGCGUGCGGUGGGUACGGGCAGGCUAGAGUGUGGUAGGGGAGACUGGAACUCCUGGUGUAGCGGUGAAAUGCGCAGAUAUCAGGAAGAACACCGAUGGCGAAGGCAGGUCUCUGGGCCAUUACUGACACUGAGAAGCGAAAGCAUGGGGAGCGAACAGGAUUAGAUACCCUGGUAGUCCAUGCCGUAAACGUUGGGCACUAGGUGUGGGGGACA